AGCGCCUUCUGGGAAUGAGGGCAACUUUGAACAAGGUGGACUCGCUGUUCUCACGGUGCCGCCAUUGUAGUUGGCUGAGUCUUACAACUUCUAAGGAAACAGCUGUAUAAAUAUUCUAGAUGUAUGUACUGUAAAUAUUCUAAAUUUCAGAUGGUUGCGGAUAUUAUGAAGAAAAUAAAACGGGCCUGGGAACAGAGUGUGUCAGGGCCCAUAGGUCUGGAUCCGUAGAGCGGUCAAAGAAUCGCUCUGUGAGAAGGAGGCGCUGAAGCAGCAAUCUGAAUAAAGAGGAGAAGGGAGCCAUGUUCAGAACCAAGAAUUUCAAAUAGAUGUCGUGAGAGAUCUUUCUGGAACAUGAAUACCUACAUGGCAAAGGAAUAAAAGAAGAUUCCAACUUACAGGCUGUGAAGAAAACCUGUACAGCAUCGAUUUAUUUAGGGGCAGUAACUUGCUUAAGAUGCCCAGCUCGUGGGGCAGAGCUGAGAUUCAGUUGCAGGAAUGUUCUUUGGUCCUUUCUUCUGCGCUACGUACUCCAGCACGGUACUGCCCGCCAGGAGUGCACAUCAAUUGUUGGAUAAGUGAACACAGAGUUCUAGGCUGUGUCCUUUUUACAUCUAAAGAAGACUGACCUUAUGGCCAGCGGUCACCCAGCUCCGAUGCCCUGCGCGGAACACCAGGAAAAGAGGGCUCCUUCAGAUGGAACCGAGAGCCUAACCAAUCUAUGUCACAUCACUUCUUCUUUCAUUACAUCAGCACUUGACAAAAACUUCCUCUCCAAAUUCUGUGCUACCCUCAUGUUUAAAUCUUUCUCCCCAAAUAUGAUACUAUCAUAGGUGAUAGAUUCAACUAAAUUAGCACCAAUAUUUGUAUGUAAAAGAUGAGUUUUGAACUCUGGAAUUGAUUGAAUUUAAUUGCUUACUGCUUUAUAAAACUUGCCUGUUGAAAUAUUUUCCUAAAUCAAUACAUAUUUUCAUGUAUAGUAUAAUGGAAUAAAAGAGAGAUCAACGACA